rnacentral:lncRNA from 1 species
AUUUAUUCUAAGAUCAAAGUUGUCCUAGUUCAAGUCUCUCUGCUCGCAGAAAUGAUUUUACAUUAGCAAAUUAUUUUACUGUUUUUGUAGUGAUUCUCAGAUGUGUUUUUCUGUUCUCUGACUGCAGGAGGUGAUUGCUGAAGACCAGGGAAAUAUUUUGGCUGAGUCAAAGCUAGAUCAGAAAUCUGCUUCACCUAAAACAGAGGAGUAUCUCACUGGUGAAAGACUGAUCCAGCUGAGAUUUGAUCCCUCACUGUUAUUUGAAUUUUGCUGUAAAUCCCCCGCUCAAUGGUGGCUGAAGGAUCUGGUGUGCAGAGCUUGAAGAACCAAUUUAUAAGGUAACUUACUGAUUUCUGCAUUUUUGGCUUAUAACUGCUAUAUGAGGAUUUGUUUUCCUGCAUAAAAACAUUUCUGUGCUUGUUCUCUCUAAUGAAGUUUUUGUCAUCUUGUUCAUAAAAUGACUCUCAUAUCAAAAAGCUU